UACGGGGGGGGCAAGCGUUGUUCGGAAUUACUGGGCGUAAAGGGCUCGUAGGCGGCCAACUAAGUCAGACGUGAAAUCCCUCGGCUUAACCGGGGAACUGCGUCUGAUACUGGUUGGCUUGAGUUUGGGAGAGGGAUGCGGAAUUCCAGGUGUAGCGGUGAAAUGCGUAGAUAUCUGGAGGAACACCGGUGGCGAAGGCGGCAUCCUGGACCAACACUGACGCUGAGGAGCGAAAGCCAGGGGAG
rnacentral:rRNA from 1 species